CCUAUGUAACAGCUACAUUAAAAAAGAAUAAAAUAAAAAAAUAGUAAGUAAUCAUAACGAUGAUGAUGAUGAUGAUGAUAAUAAUAAUAAUGAAAAUAAUAAUAAUAAUCCAUGUUCUAAGGGACACAUUAUAUGACCAGUAGAGAACCGAGGAGAGGGAGGGUCCAUGCGGUCAUGGCUUCCGCCUUUCUCUCUCUCCCUCUCUCUCUCUCUCUGUAGAUCUAGCGUCUGUAGGCUUCAGGGGGCCUGCUGCUAUGUCUCCGCCAGAUAAUGACACAGAGAGAGAGGGAGAGAGAACACUGAGGAUGGUAGUGGAUGGGAUGGGGAGAAGAUAUUUUGCUGACCUGAUAAAUUUUGCCACGGCCAGGUUAAUGGAGGUCAGAUAGGGACUUCAGAGACUCCACACAAGAAACACGUGCAGGGGACACCCAACUCGGCCCUGCCCUAGGACAGAAGCAGGUAUACUGUAGAGGCGAGACGUUGUGAACGAGAGUGAUUUCCAGUCCACAGGGGUUAAAUGAUUUGCCAACACGUUUUGACCGAUUCAAUCAAUACAUCGAGUCAGCGUGAAACGGGUCUCAUUAUCCUGCACUGAUCGCCCCAAGAAAGUGGCGAUAACAACUUUCCUUCAUGAUUCUCACUUUUCUUCUGUCAAACCUCAUCUUUUUCCCUCACUUAACUCCUAAUAAAAGUGAAAAAAAGUAAAAGACAGGGACGGCAUGAGCAGAGAGAGCACGACAGCCGACAGCAGCUGACUACCUCAUAAAAGAGCUGCUGAAAAGCAUAUUGAGGCAACUGUGACUAAAACCAGGCCAGAUAACAGGGAUUCAUGCCAUGGUUAGACUAGAAACAACUGGUGCUCAAUGUGUAGUUUGGGUAAGACAACUUAAUGCCCCAGAACUGAAGGCAGCAGUGCUCAUGCUGGCCACCAUCUCCCACAUCUCCCCACAUCCAAGCCUACCAUGAGCAGGAUGUCUUCAUGAUUCAUUAAUUCUGCUAAUCCAUCCUCAGUAAAAGAAACUGCAGGACUUUGGAGCCUGGGAGACCUGGUGUUCAUUUGUGGAACAUCCAGUAAGACGCACAUACAUUACUCAUUGUGUAAACUUACAUCUUAAAUCGUCCUAACAGAAAACUCCUGGUGCUAUCAUAAUCUCAUUCCUCCACUAGGUAUUUACAUUAAAUGUCAUUAUAAUGAUAGUAAUAAAUAAUUUUUUUCACAGAAACUGAGUAGAAUAUAAAUCAUGAGGAAAUUAAUAUAUGGGAAUAAAAGAAGAAAUCAUACAUUUGGGAAGGAGAGUCUUGGAAAAGUUUAAGAAAGAACACAAACUGUUUCCAAGAUACAUUAAAAGUAAAAUAACAGAAGGAAGAAAUACAUAAGCCCUCAAAAGAAAAUACAAAGAUGUGACCUUCAAGCAAGUAUUUAUGAGUGACUCAGAAUUUAGACUAACUGCAAAGAGAAAAGAAAAGGAUGGGGAAAAUAAGUUUAAAGAGAUACAGCAACUGAUAAAAAGACGAAGAGAGAAAUGUAACAUUCCACUCACAGAGUAAUGUCCCCAAGCAAUGACAUUUGUAAUAAUGUUUAGAAUUAUACAACAAAUAAAGUAAUCAACUAUUUCAGAUACUGAUAAAAUCACACAAAAAAGUAAUGCCUGCUAAAUUAUUUAUCUAUGCUAUACAGUAUACCUAUCUAUCUAUGGCAGUGGUUCCCAAACUGUAACACCUUUGCUCAGCACUGCACAUGGUGCCUGCUUUCUCAAAGUGAGGAGGUUUUUAAAGAUUUAAUAGGUAAGGAAUGAGGUUAUUAACGUGAUGAUAAUUUAGUUCUUUUGUAAAAACCUCUAAUUAAAUUUUGUUUGUACAUAAUUACUAAUGUCAUUGAAUUCUUAGAAAAUUAUUCACAAUUGCAUGUAAUAACCAUUUUCUGAAGAAUUAAGUAAAUGGUUAUUUGUAAUCAUCAGGUAUAAACCAAAGUCCCCUUGCAGAGACCUAUAAAACUCGCAACGUUUAAGAAUACCAGAUGCCCCCCCCAAAAAAAAAAAAAAAAAAUGUUGGGAACCAGUGAUCAAUAGGAAGAGAAUGAGCCCUGAAAGAUAUUAAUUUUCAGUAAAUCUUACCUCCACCAAGAUGUCCAUGUAGCAAGAGGUCCUCUUCCAGACAAGGAAUUGGGAUGAAGAAUCUUACAGUGUGUAGCUCUUGGUGGUGUCAUCUGUAAUAUUGUUAUCACAUUAGCAGGAAAAACUGAAUCUUCAUUUUCACUGUGAAUAACAUUAAGCAGUAUGAAACAUGACUUUGUUCCAGUGACUGUAACUUGCCAAUAGUAUGUGUGAUAGUAAUAAAUAGUAGUUGAACAAAUGGCAACAAUAUUCUCUUUGAGAAAUACAGAAAAUAUCUAGUACCAGACAUGACUAUAUUAAGUAUAUUUGCAGUCCUCUAGUCUUGCUGCAAUUACUAUGACUGAGAUGCAGUAUGUUGAAAUGAGGUCCAUAUUCUAUAGUUCUGGAACAUCCAUAACCU